CCAGCCAUAGCUCAGUUGGUAGAGCGGAGGACUGUAGAUCCUUAGGUCGCUGGUUCGAAUCCGGCUGGCUGGA
rnacentral:tRNA from 1 species